GACAGAGGUGCCGAGCGUUAGGCGGAAUCACUGGGCUUAAAGCGUGUGUAGGCGGACUCGUAAGUGCUUUGUGAAAUCCCACGGCUCACCCGUGGAACUGCUUGGCAUACUGCGAGCCCUGAGCCACUUAGGGGCAACCGGAACAAACGGUGGAGCGGUGAAAUGCGUAGAGAUCCGGAGGAACACCGCAGGCGAAGACAGUGUCCUGGCGCGUACCUGACGCUGAGGUGCGAAAGCUAGGGGAGCGAACGGG
rnacentral:rRNA from 1 species